rnacentral:rRNA from 1 species
CCUACGGGGGGCAGCAGUGGGGAAUAUUGCACAAUGGGCGCAAGCCUGAUGCAGCCAUGCCGCGUGUGUGAAGAAGGCCUUCGGGUUGUAAAGCACUUUCAGCGGGGAGGAAGGCGUUAAGGUUAAUAACCUUGUCGAUUGACGUUACCCGCAGAAGAAGCACCGGCUAACUCCGUGCCAGCACCGCGGUAAUACGGAGGGUGCAAGCGUUAAUCGGAAUUACUGGGCGUAAAGCGCACGCAGGCGGUCUGUCAAGUCGGAUGUGAAAUCCCCGGGCUCAACCUGGGAACUGCAUUCGAAACUGGCAGGCUAGAGUCUUGUAGAGGGGGGUAGAAUUCCAGGUGUAGCGGUGAAAUGCGUAGAGAUCUGGAGGAAUACCGGUGGCGAAGGCGGCCCCCUGGACAAAGACUGACGCUCAGGUGCGAAAGCGUGGGGAGCAAACAGGAUUAGAUACCCGUGUAGUC